rnacentral:snRNA from 1 species
AGACGUGAAGGCGAUCUGGCCGUGACAUCUGUCGUCCCAUUGAUUGAUGGGGUUGAUUCAGCUAGGCCAGUGUUCCUUCCUCCUUCGCGGUUGCAUGUGUGUCCCUCCUGAUGCUGUGUGUUUGGCCAAAAAGGACGACCUUCCCCGAUAGAGGAGGACAGUCUUGGGUCAAGGGUAUACAAGUAGCUGUGUCCCCCUGCUAGAACCUCCAAACGAGCUCUCCAGGACAUUAUUCUUUUUUUUUUUUCCCUAUUUUGGUACCAGGGAUUGAACUCAGGGGCACUUGACCACUGAGCCACAUCCCCAGCCCUAUUUUGUAUUUCACUUAGAGACAGGGUUUU